GGGUUUCUGCUGAGAAAUCUUCUGAUAGGCAGUGUUGAAGCAGCCUUUUAAAGAGAAAUGCAUGUUCUCUUUUGAGUUGAAUUUGACUGGUGACAGCUGUACUUCCUGCUCUUGAGUGAUGACAUCUGGAAGUUUCCAGCAUCAUUUCCUUCAAGUCUCUUUCUAGUCCUUCUUCGUCUUCCUACAACUGCCAUAAUGUGCUUGUGUGUGUGCCCUCUUGGUGAUGGCCCAUGGCUCACACAGGGGUCCUCUCUCAGCCUUUUUGAUCCUGUGGAGAGUUUCGAAUGUUCUGUCUUGCAGCUUACUCUCUUUGUCCCAGUAGAGUAACCAUUGAAGAUUUUUAUUGAGUUUUCUAGUUUAGUCAUUGUAUUUUUAAUUUCCAAUUUUCUUUUCUUUUUAAAUUAUCUUUGUUUGGUAGACUUGGUUUUUUUGUUUUUAAUUGUUAGCUUGAUCUCACUUUUAUUUUUUAUUUUUUAUAGUUUACUGAACUUAUUUAUUAGUGUAUCCUAAAUUCAAUUGUGAAUCAUUUUGUAGAUCUUCAUUUAUUUGGGGUCCAUUAUUGUAGCCUAUCAAGUUUCUUUUCAAAGUUUCUUUGUUUGUUUGUUCAUUUCUCUUUCUUUUUUCUUUUUUUAACAUAGGGUCUCAUGUAGCUCAGGCUACCCUCAAACUCAGUGUGUACCUAAGGGUGACCUUGAGCUUCUGACUGUCCUGUGUCAGCUUCCCAUGAUAUAGGAUGGCAGGGAUGGCCAUUGUGUCUAGGUUAUGAGCUAUUUCCGACCCCAGGCAGGCCUGCAGCUCUCUUCUGGCUGAGCUACAUCCCAGCCCAGUGCCUCUCUUAGUUGUGGUUAUACUCGCACCUCUCUGUCGAGGUCUGUGCUUCCGAGAAGCACCCUCCUGGCUUCUACUGUAUUCUUUGAUGUACUCUGAGGGUCAGCUAGUGACAAACACAGUGGGGUGAUGAAGCUGUUUUUAGCUUGAAAUACUUUUGCUAUCUACUGGGAUAAUUUUUUCUCUAUUUCUAUAUAUCAAAUGUUUUAAAUAUUGCCUUCAACUUUGUUACUUAGAUUGAGUGGGUAAAUAUUUUACUUGUCUCUUUGUUAACAUUUGCAAGCUCCCCCCCCCCAAAAGUAUGUUUUUGGUUUUUUAGCAGAUAUAAAAGUGAAUGUUUAUAUCCACUUAUUAGGAUAAUACUUUGGGUCUUUAAACAUUUUAAAAUUGAUUUUUGUGUGUAUAUGCAUUCAUGUAAGGGCACGCUCGCACACAGGCACACGUGUCACCGUGUUAAUGCGGCCAUCUAAGGGCAACUUUCAGGAGUUGGGUCUUUAUCUUGUUUCUGCUGCAGUGUUGCCUGCUCCGGGCUGCUGACCAGCACAUUUCCAGGUGGUUUUCCUGUCUGCAGUCUCACUGGGGCAGUGCUGGGAUUAAAGGUGCUGCUGCCCUACCGGGAAGUGAGGCCUUCAUGGCUAGCACUUCAUGCUCUAAGACACUCGUCCAGCUCUGCCUGAGGUGCACUUAAAGUGCUUAAAGAAUUACACUGAUUUGAACAUUGAAUUGAAAUUGAAUUUCAGAUCAUUUUUUUCUCUUUGCUUCCUAACCUUGAAAAAUGUCUUCUUAGUGUUUUAUGAGCAGGGAGGCAGCAUAGAUGUUGACUGGCUGUUGACCAUAAAUCUUUGUUAGGUUUCUAUUGCUGUGUUAAAACAGCAUUGCCAAAAGCAACCCGGGACAGAAAGGGUUUACUUCAUCCUAUACUUCCUUCACUGAGGGAAGUCAGGCAGGGAACUCAAACAGGGCAGGGACCUGGAGCUGAUGUGGGGCCAUGGAGCUGCUUACUGGCUUGCUUCCCAUGGCUUACUCAGCCUGCUUCCUUAGAGAACCUAGGACCACCAGCCCAUGGGGUGGCCCUACCCAUUAUGGGCUGGACCCUCCCAUAUUAGUCAUUAAGGGGACAUUUUCUCACUUGAGGUUCCUCCUCCCCCGAAGGCUCUAGCCAUGUCAGAUUGACAGGACACUAGCAGCACAACAUGUGGCAUUCUCUUGCUUUUUAGGUAUCACAGUCACACAAUGUAAGGCUUUUUGUAGCCACACUUUGGCCAGUCUGAUAGAAUUUUGUCCUUAAUUUAUUUAAAAGUAAAAUACAAAAUAUAAGCACUUGUUUCCUAGUAUUUAUAGAAGGAGUAAAUUAAGAUGUGAAGAAAAUUGAACAGACUUCUAAAGAAACCUCUAAGUCCUCUGAUGGAAGAUUUAUAAAGAAUUCUUAGAAACACUUUAAUAUAGUUCAAAAUUAAACCUUUACUUCCUUCCCACCUCAGGCCCUUGAGUUACACAUCCAGGACAACUACUGUGAACAGUUCUGAGGUAGCCUUCCACAGUGCUCUGUGUACUUAAGUGUAUGUGGAACAUAUGUACAUGAGUUAAAAAUAGAGUUUAAAAAUAAAUAGUGUUUUGAAUGGGCUAAAUGUAUUUUUUCUCAUGUAGUUGAGAAAAUUGGACAGCUUGAUACACAUUAAGUAUUUUCUUCACCUUUAUUAAAUGUUUCCUAAUUGUAUCAUUCUGUAUAAAAUUUCUAUAGUGAAGUUUAAUAACAGAUUAUUUUUAAUAGAAACAUUAAUUUAUAUGGAAGAUUUCCCCCUUAAUACAUGUUUUUAAUGUCAGUUGGCUUAUUGAAAACAGGGUGGCGGUCAGGGCGCUGGGCUUGCGUUGCUGCAGUGAAAUAUUGUUUGUGUUCCGCUUUUCUCGUUGUUCUGUUUUGCAGUCCUGGGAUCAAAGCCAGAGCCUAGUGCUCUAGGCAUGUUACUCCACUGCUGAUUUUAAUUCCCAGCUUGAGGUUUUAUUCUUUUAAGUAGUAAACAUAUACUUCUCUUUUGUUACAAUGGUGAUAGAAAAUUAGAAUAAUUUUGAAAUGUGUAGUGACACAAAAGUAAACUUUCCUUCCUUCUUCUCUCCUGCUUCCUCCCUCUCCCUUCCUCUCCUUCCUCCCCCACCUCCUCCUUCCUUUGAUCUCCCUCCUUAGCCCUUUGAAUACCUGGCUGAGUUCUUUUUUUUUUUUUUUUUUUUUAAGUUGAAGUAAUUAAACUCAUUGUGUGUGUUUUAUUAACUCUGUGUUUAGGCAUGUGCCGAUGUAAGAGCUAGUUCAGUGUUUUGGCAGCAGAUGGAGUUCUCAGAGAGUCUUCAUGGCUAUCCCAAGUUGCCAGAGUGGCUGUCGACACAUCCUUCUCAUGGGAACCGAGCUGAGUACUUGGAUAGACUCAUACCACAGGUGAGCUAACCCCACUAAUUCUGUUACUUUUUUGGUAUAGAAAAAGUGAAUUUCAGUAUGCAAUUAUUUUGGUUACCAUAAUUAUCAACUAUUGGUUUCACAGAGUUGUAUUGAAAAGGGAAUUCCUAUUUACCCACAAGUCCUGGGGAAUAAAUUGCUAUGUACAGCUGAAUUUCCUCAGUGUAAGGUCUACUCUCGUGUCUGACUGAGUUGUAAUUAACUUGGUAAUGUCUUAAACCUUGAGAAGGCCUGGAGACGUGGUUCAGUUGAUGAGGGCUUGCCUAGCAUACAGGAAACCCUGUAUUGUACCUCUAGUACUUUGCAAAGUGGGUGUGGUGAUGCACACCCGUAAUACCAGUGCUUGGGAGGUGGGGACAGGAAAACCAAGAGUUCAAGGACAUCCCUAGCUCCACAGUGAGUUUGAGGUCAUGAGACCUCAUGAGACAUGAGACCCUGUCUCAAAGCAAAAAAAUAAGC
rnacentral:lncRNA from 1 species